AGCUUUGGGGUGUGAUCACGUCAGAUUGCAAAUCUGAAGAUGCAGGUGGAUAGCCUGCCGGAGCUU
rnacentral:tRNA from 1 species